GGUUUAAUUCGAUGAUACGCGAGGAACCUAGCCGGGCUUGAAUUGCAGAGGAAGGAUUUGGAGACAAUGAACGCCCUUCGGGGUCUCUGUGAAGGUGCUGCAUGGUUGUCGUCAGCUCGUGCCGUGAGGUGUCGGCUUAAGUGCCAUAACGAGCGCAACCCCUCUCCUUAGUUGCCAUCAGGUCAAGCUGGGCACUCUGGGGACACUGCCACCGUAAGGUGUGA
rnacentral:rRNA from 1 species